rnacentral:rRNA from 1 species
GAGACUCUGUGCGCGUGCAUAUCAAUAAGCGGAGGAAAAGAAACUAACAAGGAUUCCCUUAGUAACGGCGAGUGAAGCGGGAAGAGCUCAAAUUUGAAAUCUUCAAGGUCUACCUUGACGAAUUGUAGUUUAAAGAAGUGUUUUCUGUUAGUGAAGUUGGCUAAAAGUUCUUUGGAAUAGGACAUCAUAGAGGGUGAGAAUCCCGUAUUUGGUCAUUCUUCCUAGCUUUGUGAUACACUUUCAACGAGUCGGAUUGUUUGGGAUGCAGUCCAAAAUGGGUGGUAAAUUUCAUCUAAAGCUAAAUAUUGGCGAGAGACCGAUAGCGAACAAGUACCGUGAGGGAAAGAUGAAAAGAACUUUGAAAAGAGAGUUAAACAGUACGUGAAAUUGUCAAAAGGGAAGCGUUUGACACCAGUGUUGUUUUCUCGAAAAUCAAUUAAAAAUGAUGGGAUUUUGUGUUGUAUUGACUUUAUCAGCUUUCUGCACUUUUUUCUUAUCUUUUUUAAUGCACUUUUCGUUUAACAAGUCAACAUCAAUUUCUUUUGUUGUAAAAGAGUCAUUGGAAGGUGGCUUUUUCUUCGGAAAAAGUGUUUAUAGCCUUUGGCUUCUGCAAUCGGAGAGGAUUGAGGUCUGCAGCGUAGAUCCUUCGGGGUUAGAUACAUUUGUGCUAAGCUAUAGUUCUUUAUAGACAACUUGUUGACUAUAGUUUAGUCUUGUAGCUUACUCGCUGACUGCUAUUUUACCUACGCUUAGGAUGUUGAAGUCAUCGUAUCGCGC